GCCAGAGGGAGUGGAACACCAGGAGAAGGCAGAGCUCUGAACCAACUAAGCAAGGAGCAUGCAUGUUUUAGAAUGCUGACACAGCAGUAAGGACUCCAACCAUGCGCACAGCUGGCCUGGAGAGAGUAAACUGCCAAGUAGCCCUGGGCUGAAGGUCUGAGGUCAGAAUCCACGCCUCCCAGCUUCUUCUAGCUCAUUGGUUGAGCGUAUCAUUUACUCUCUUAAUCUCUGAAGAUGGUGUUAGCACAUAUUCCUACAUUAAGAUAAUUCAUUUUCCUUAUCAGGAAAAGGAGAGAAAUUUUGGGGUGGAGGGGAUGUAUGUGACCAGUUCAUCCCUACCAUUGCCUAUUAAAGACUCUCAUCUUCUA